GAUUCCUACCAGGAGGCAACUGAACACCCAAAGUCCUCAGCUUUGCGUACCUGCCCUCCCCUGAGAAGGGUUCACAUGCUGAAAAUAAAUAGCCCUGUCGUACAGCCCUGCUGGGCUUUGCUUUGGAUCCAUUACCCACAGUUACUUACUCCCUGACAGCUACUUCUGCACCUGAAGACAAGUAGUGGCUACAGCACUGAACGAACAUGAAUUUUCAAGAGCUGGGAGGUGUCAAAAACACCCAGAAAGACUAAUGUAAUCA